rnacentral:tRNA from 1 species
GGAUUGUUAGUUUAUUGUUUAGAAUCCUAUUUUGUAUUAUAGUUUUAUUGUGUUUAGAAUAUAGUCCA